CCGAAUAGGACCCAACUCCGUCUGCUAGAUGUCCUACCUAAGCAGGUAGCAAAGACUCCCGAGAAGAAUAACGAGAGAGAGAGAGAGAUAAGUCGUUGGUUCACUUCGAAGAUGAACGGCGGCCCAUCUGGUUUCAACAAUGCUCCCGUCACAAGAACAUUUGUUAUUGCGUGUGCCCUAUUCACGAUCAUUUUUGGGAUCCGAGGUCGUUCAAAAAAUCUUGGGUUAUCUUACCUGAAUAUUUUCAAGAAGCUUAAUAUCUGGAAGCUAAUAGUGUCAGUUUUUGCGUUUUCAUCUACACCGGAGCUGAUAUUCGGACUAUAUUUGCUGUAUUACUUUCGGGUAUUUGAGAGACAGAUAGGGUCUAAUAAGUACUCGGUGUUCAUCUUGUUGUCUGUAAUCAUGUCUUUACUGUUUGAGUUCCUUGCCCUAUCCUUUCUUAAAGAUCCCACCUCGAGUGUAAUCACAUCUGGCCCCUAUGGACUUAUAUUUUCUUUAUUUGUACCAUUUUACCUCGACAUUCCAGUUUCAACGCGGUUCCGUGUAUUUGUCCUUCGCUUCUCUGACAAGUCUUUCAUUUAUUUAGCUGGUCUCCAGCUUCUUCUAUCAUCCUGGAAAAGAUCUAUUUUACCGGGGAUAUGCGGCAUUCUUGCUGGUUCCUUAUAUCGUUUAAAUGUCUUUCAUAUCCGCAGGAUGAAGUUUCCGGAGUUCAUUACUUCAUACUUUUCACGGCUUUCUUGGCCGUCCACUGGGAGUACAUCACCUGCGGCACAAAGUAGAAAUGUUCUGAGAAAUGUACCAUCCUACCCAGGUCGCCAAGUCGAGGGAAACUACCCUGCUCCCAUAUCUUCUACCACAGAGCCACCAGAGGACUCUGUUUCUACGCUAGUAUCAAUGGGUUUUGACAGAAACUCUGCCAGACAAGCACUUAUGCAGGCUAGAAAUGACAUCAAUACAGCUACUAACAUCCUUCUUGAACAGCAAUCACACUAGUGGAAAUUUUGAUUUGAAGAUGAAACCUGGAUUUGGAACAGAGACUAGACCUACCAGUGCGUGAUGGAAGAAAUUUGCCUUUUUCUAUACUGGAACAAUCUGGUGCUCCAAGAAACUCGUUGACGCAGUCAUGGUCAUUUUGGGCAGCAGCAACGAAGAGUGCAGAAUACUCGUUGUAUGUAAUUGAUGGGCUAUAGCAGCAAGGUGUUAAGUGUUUUUAAUAAUUAAUCAAGCGCGAUUUUGUUGUAAGUUGCGUUUUUUAUGCAGCUUUGAACUAGUAACUACUAUCAACCUCGGGGAAAAAAGAAAAAGAAAAAGAAAAAAGGUUGUGAAGUGGGUUUUCUUUUUUCGGUUCUCUCUUACUAAGAUAUACUGUUCAAGUUCAAGUUUUCUCUUUACGGGAAACAAUUUCGCAAGGUCUACUGUUCAAGUUCAAUGUAUAUGUCAUAAAAUAACGACA